rnacentral:rRNA from 1 species
UACAGAGGUCCCGAGCGUUGUUCGGAUUCACUGGGCGUAAAGGGUGCGUAGGUGGUGACGUAAGUCGGAUGUGAAAUCUCGGAGCUCAACUCCGAAACGGCAUUGGAAACUGCGUUGCUAGAGGGUUGGAGGGGGGACUGGAAUGCUUGGUGUAGCAGUGAAAUGCGUAGAUAUCAAGCGGAACACCAGUGGCGAAGGCGAGUCCCUGGACAACACCUGACACUGAGGCACGAAAGCUCGGGGAGCAAACAGG